GGCUGGUCCGAUGGCAGUGGGUUAUCAGAACUUAUUAACAUUAGUGUCACUAAAGUUGGUAUACCCCCCCCCACUGCUAAAUUUGACUGGCUUUAA
ensembl:misc_RNA Y_RNA Y RNA